rnacentral:rRNA from 1 species
GCUUAUACUCGACCGUCAGCGGCAAGAGCGACGGCGCCGCGCGCGUUCGCGCGCGCGCGCGCGCCGUCACCAAGCCCUGACGAGUAGGAGGGUCGCGGCGGUGAGCGCAGAAGGGCUGGCCGCGAGGCCGUCUGGAGCCGCCGUCGGUGCAGAUCUUGGUGGUAGUAGCAAAUACUCCAGCGAGGCCCUGGAGGACUGACGUGGAGAAGGGUUUCGUGUGAACAGCCGUUGCACACGAGUCAGUCGAUCCUAAGCCCUAGGCGAAAGCCGAUGUCGAUGCGGUGUAGAUUAAUAUAAUUCAAUAUAUAAUUUAAUUAAUUCGUACACACCCGUCGGGCGAAAGGGAAUCCGGUUCCUAUUCCGGAACCUGGCAGCGGAACCGUUAAUAAGUCGGGC